rnacentral:rRNA from 1 species
GAUGAACGCUGGCGGCGUGCCUAAUACAUGCAAGUCGAGCGAACGGAUGAGAAGCUUGCUUCUCUGAUGUUAGCGGCGGACGGGUGAGUAACACGUGGAUAACCUACCUAUAAGACUGGGAUAACUUCGGGAAACCGGAGCUAAUACCGGAUAAUAUUUUGAACCGCAUGGUUCAAAAGUGAAAGACGGUCUUGCUGUCACUUAUAGAUGGAUCCGCGCUGCAUUAGCUAGUUGGUAAGGUAACGGCUUACCAAGGCAACGAUGCAUAGCCGACCUGAGAGGGUGAUCGGCCACACUGGAACUGAGACACGGUCCAGACUCCUACGGGAGGCAGCAGUUGGGAAUCUUCCGCAAUGGGCGAAAGCCUGACGGAGCAACGCCGCGUGAGUGAUGAAGGUCUUCGGAUCGUAAAACUCUGUUAUUAGGGAAGAACAUAUGUGUAAGUAACUGUGCACAUCUUGACGGUACCUAAUCAGAAAGCCACGGCUAACUACGUG